AUGGCCUCGGUUAGGCCCCCUCUCCGCCGCCUCGCGCUGCUGCUUAACAGCCGCAUCCGCGCCAACAACCGCUUCCUCGCCUCCGCCUCCACCUCCACCUCCUCCUACCCCACCGCCGCCGCAGCCGGCACCGCCACCACCGAGACGCCGGCGCCGGAGGAGCCGGAGGUCGUCAGCAUGACGGAUAACUGCGUCCGUAGACUCAAAGAGUUGCAUACUAAAGAACCAUCUGCUAAGGGCAACAUGUUGCGCUUGAGCGUUGAAGCUGGUGGCUGUUCUGGAUUCCAGUACACCUUCUCACUGGAUAGCAAGGAAAAUGCUGAUGAUAGGGUCUUCGAGAAGAAUGGUGUUAAGUUGGUUGUCGACAAUGUCUCAUACGACUUCGUGAAAGGUUCAACAAUCGAUUAUGUAGAGGAAUUGAUAAGCUCAGCAUUUGUGGUUUCAACCAAUCCAAGUGCUGUUGGAGGCUGCAGCUGCAAGAGUUCCUUCAUGGUUAAAUAA
rnacentral:rRNA from 1 species